AAACAGUUCGUUCUCCAUCUGGACCUCUUCCUUGACAGAUUUCGUUUCGUCCCCCUCAUGAUUUUUUCUUUUUUUUUGGCAAAGACUUUGUUUUCCAUUCAAAAAAUCAAAAGGAUUACAAAGAUUAAGAGUUCAUCCAAAGCAAGGAAUAUUACGACAUUGAAAACAUUGAUAAGAACAAACAGUAGAUAAGAUAGUUCGACGGCAGUUCGAAGACUCCAAAACAUGCGCGGUAAAGCAACUUGCCACAUGCAAGUAGAUGGUGAGUCGAGACCACAUCUACGGACAAACGGGGAAGAUGGACAAACGACGUA